AGAACGAACGCUGGCGGCAUGCCUAAUACAUGCAAGUCGAACGAACUCUUCGGAGUUAGUGGCGCACGGGUGCGUAACGCGUGGGAAUCUGCCCCUUGGUUCGGAAUAACAGUUGGAAACGACUGCUAAUACCGGAUGAUGACGAAGGUCCAAAGAUUUAUCGCCAAGGGAUGAGCCCGCGUAGGAUUAGCUAGUUGGUGAGGUAAAGGCUCACCAAGGCAACGAUCCUUAGCUGGUCUGAGAGGAUGAUCAGCCCACACUGGGACUGAGACACCGGCCCAGACCCCCGUAGGGACGGCAGCGAGUAGGGAAUAGUGACAAGUGGGACGAAAGCCGUGACUCCAGCUAAAUGACCCGCGUGAGUGAAUGGAAGGUACCGUUAGGGUUAGUAAACGUCCUUACCUUUUACCCGGAAGUAUAGUAAUAAUAG
rnacentral:rRNA from 1 species